GAUGAACGCUGGCGGCGUGCUUAACACAUGCAAGUCGAACGAAGCAUUUAGGACAGAUUACUUCGGUUUGAAGUUCUUUAUGACUGAGUGGCGGACGGGUGAGUAACGCGUGGGUAACCUGCCUUGUACUGGGGGAUAGCAGCUGGCAACGGCUGGUAAUACCGCAUAAGCGCACAAUGUUGCAUGACAUGGUGUGAAAAACUCCGGUGGUAUAAGAUGGACCCGCGUCUGAUUAGCUAGUUGGUGAGAUAACAGCCCACCAAGGCGACGAUCAGUAGCCGACCUGAGAGGGUGACCGGCCACAUUGGGACUGAGACACGGCCCAGACUCCUACGGGAGGCAGCAGUGGGGAAUAUUGCACAAUGGAGGAAACUCUGAUGCAGCGACGCCGCGUGAGUGAAGAAGUAAUUCGUUAUGUAAAGCUCUAUCAGCAGGGAAGAUAGUGACGGUACCUGACUAAGAAGCUCCGGCUAAAUACGUG
rnacentral:rRNA from 1 species